UACGAGGGGGGCGAGCGUUGUUCGGAAUUAUUGGGCGUAAAGGGUGCGUAGGCGGUUUGAUAAGUCUGAUGUGAAAUCUAUGGGCUCAACCCAUAGCCCUGCAUUAGAAACUGUCGGGCUUGAGUAUGGGAGAGGUGAGUGGAAUUUCCGGUGUAGCGGUGAAAUUCGUAGAUAUUCGCAAGAACACCAGUGGCGAAGGCGGCUCACUGGCCCGGUACUGACGCUGAG
rnacentral:rRNA from 1 species